GCAACCCGCUUGUGUCCCUUUGCAUACUGUGGAAGCUUUGUUCUUUUGCUCUUUGCAGUAAAUCUUGCUACUGCUCACUCUUUGGGUCCCCGCUGCUUUUAUGAGCUGUAACAUUCACCGCGAAGAUCUGCAGCUUCACUCCUGAGCCCAGCGAGACCACAAGCCCACCGGGAGAAACGAACAACUCCAGACGUGCUGCCUUAAGAGCUGUAACACUCACCGCAAAGGUCUGCAGCUUCACUCCUGAACCAGCGAGACCACGAACCCACCAGAAGGAAGAAACUCCGAACACAUCUGAACAUCAGAAGGGACAGACUCCAGACGCGCCACCUUAAGAGCUGUAACACUCACCGCGAGGGUCCGCGGCUUCAUUCUUAAAGUCAGUGAGACCAAGAACCUACCAAUUCCGGACACAUAGAUUCAAGACAUCAGUGGAAAAAUAAACUCCAUGUAAUGGGAAUAGCAAGAAAAAUAGCACUAGAAGUGGACCUUGAAGAUUUGACUGACCUGUGGAAAUCUCAUAGUAAAACCUGAAUGGAAGAAGAGUUGGUUCUUACAGCCUGGGGCAAGACAACACCAAAUGCCACACAGGAAAACAUGAAGGUUGCAUUUUGGAAACAGAGUGAAGCUGGAGUUUGGGAAGGCAGAUUUGCAGUAUCAAGAAGAAGGUGGGAUCAACUCUUGGUUCUGAAGUGUGAGGCUGCCAUUCAAGACCAAGUAAGAAGGCUACCUUGGAAGGCCCAGAAGACAGAGUAUUGAGCCAGAGAGAAUUAUACUCAAGUCUUAAAACCUAAAUGGAAAAAAUCUUUGCUUGAGAAGGAACCAUAUCCUGAGUCUUACCCAUAAAAGGAUUUUGAUGAGAUUUUGGACCUUAAGUUGAUAUUGGAAUAGUUAAGACUUUUGGAUCAGGUGAAUGUGGUUUGCAUACAGAAAGGCCAUGCUUUAUUUUUAUUUUUAUUUUUUGAUGGGGGAAGCAAAGGGAAGACUUUUAAAGGUUGAAUUGUGUCCCCAAAAGCUAUGUUGGAGUCUUAAUUCUCAGUAUCUCAGAAGGUGAAUUUACCUGGAAAUAGAUUGCAGCAGAUGAAAUUAAUUAAGUUAAUACAAGGUUAUACUAGAUUAGGAUGGGCUUCUAGUUCAAUAUGACUGAGAUUAUUAUAAGACAACAAAAUAAAUACAUGAAAAAACACAAAAAUGCAGGGAGAGUUCUAUAUAAUGGUGAAUUCAGAGAUUGAAAUUUUGCAGUUGCAAAGGAUGAAAAGUUAAAGAUUAUUGGUGGUACCAGAAGCUAAAACCAUGGAACAUAUUCUCCCUUACAGUCUUCAAGAAAGCAUGAGUAUGCUGACACAUUGAUUUUGGACUUCUAGCCUCAGACCAUUGAGAGAAAAUUAAUUUAUGUUGUUUUCAGCCACCCAGUUUGUGGCACUUUGUUAUAGCAGCCCUGGGAAACUAGUGCACUAAAUGUAUAUACAUAAGCUUUUUUUUGUAGCAUCUUUGAGCUGUCAUGUAUUUUUAAAUAUUUGAUUGCUAAAAAUUUGCUAUUACUGAAGGGAUUCUGAAGGGCUACUGGCUCCACAUAUUUUACACAUUAAACCUUUCCAAGACCUGAUUUUAUCAGUAUGUUUACUGCUAAAGCAUUUGCUUAA
rnacentral:lncRNA from 10 species